AUGAACGCUAGCGACAGGCUUAACACAUGCAAGUCGAGGGGCAGCACAGGUAGCAAUACCGGGUGGCGACCGGCGCACGGGUGAGUAACGCGUAUGCAACUUACCUAUCAGAGGGGGAUAACCCGGCGAAAGUCGGACUAAUACCGCAUGAAGCAGGGGCCCCGCAUGGGGAUAUUUGCUAAAGAUUCAUCGCUGAUAGAUAGGCAUGCGUUCCAUUAGGCAGUUGGCGGGGUAACGGCCCACCAAACCGACGAUGGAUAGGGGUUCUGAGAGGAAGGUCCCCCACAUUGGUACUGAGACACGGACCAAACUCCUACGGGAGGCAGCAGUGAGGAAUAUUGGUCAAUGGCCGAGAGGCUGAACCAGCCAAGUCGCGUGAGGGAUGAAGGUUCUAUGGAUCGUAAACCUCUUUUAUAAGGGAAUAAAGUGCGGGACGUGUCCCGUUUUGUAUGUACCUUAUGAAUAAGGAUCGGCUAACUCCGUGCCAGCAGCCGCGGUAAUACGGAGGAUCCGAGCGUUAUCCGGAUUUAUUGGGUUUAAAGGGUGCGUAGGCGGCCUUUUAAGUCAGCGGUGAAAGUCUGUGGCUCAACCAUAGAAUUGCCGUUGAAACUGGGGGGCUUGAGUAUGUUUGAGGCAGGCGGAAUGCGUGGUGUAGCGGUGAAAUGCAUAGAUAUCACGCAGAACCCCGAUUGCGAAGGCAGCCUGCCAAGCCAUGACUGACGCUGAUGCACGAAAGCGUGGGGAUCAAACAGGAUUAGAUACCCUGGUAGUCCACGCAGUAAACGAUGAUCACUAGCUGUUUGCGAUACACUGUAAGCGGCACAGCGAAAGCGUUAAGUGAUCCACCUGGGGAGUACGCCGGCAACGGUGAAACUCAAAGGAAUUGACGGGGACCCGCACAAGCGGUGGAGCAUGUGGUUUAAUUCGAUGCAACGCGAAGAACCUUACCUGGUCUUGACAUCCACAGAACUUUCCAGAGAUGGAUUGGUGCCUUCGGGAACUGUGAGACAGGUGCUGCAUGGCUGUCGUCAGCUCGUGCCGUGAGGUGUCGGCUUAAGUGCCAUAACGAGCGCAACCCUUGCCACUAGUUACUAACAGGUAAAGCUGAGGACUCUGGUGGGACUGCCAGCGUAAGCUGCGAGGAAGGCGGGGAUGACGUCAAAUCAGCACGGCCCUUACAUCCGGGGCGACACACGUGUUACAAUGGCGUGGACAAAGGGAGGCCACCUGGUGACAGGGAGCGAAUCCCCAAACCACGUCUCAGUUCGGAUCGGAGUCUGCAACCCGACUCCGUGAAGCUGGAUUCGCUAGUAAUCGCGCAUCAGCCAUGGCGCGGUGAAUACGUUCCCGGGCCUUGUACACACCGCCCGUCAAGCCAUGGGAGCCGGGGGUACCUGAAGUCCGUAACCGAAAGGAUCGGCCUAGGGUAAAACUGGUGACUGGGGCU
rnacentral:rRNA from 1 species